GGAAGGGGUGUAUUUAUUAGAUAAAAAACCAACGCCCUUCGGGGCUUCUUGGUGAUUCAUGAUAACUUCACGGAUCGCAUGGCCUUGCGCCGGCGACGGUUCAUUCAAAUUUCUGCCCUAUCAACUUUCGAUGGUAAGGUAUUGGCUUACCAUGGUUUCAACGGGUAACGGGGAAUUAGGGUUCGAUUCCGGAGAGGGAGCCUGAGAAACGGCUACCACAUCCAAGGAAGGCAGCAGGCGCGCAAAUUACCCAAUCCCGACACGGGGAGGUAGUGACAAUAAAUACUGAUACAGGGCUCUUUUGGGUCUUGUAAUUGGAAUGAGUACAAUUUAAACCUCUUAACGAGGAACAAUUGGAGGGCAAGUCUGGUGCCAGCAGCCGCGGUAAUUCCAGCUCCAAUAGCGUAUAUUAAAGUUGUUGCAGUUAAAAAGCUCGUAGUUGAAACUUGGGCCUGGCUGGCAGGUCCGCCUCACCGCGUGUACUUGUCCGGCCGGGCCUUUCCUUCUAGAGAACCUCAUGCCCUUCACUGGGUGUGCUGGGGAACUAGGACUUUUAC
rnacentral:rRNA from 1 species